rnacentral:tRNA from 1 species
GCCUGGGUGGCUCAGUCGGUUGGGCAUCCAACUGUGGCUCGGGUCAUGAUCUCAGGGUUCGUGGGUUCAAGUCCCACGUCAGGCU